rnacentral:rRNA from 1 species
AUUGAACGCUGGCGGCAGGCCUAACACAUGCAAGUCGGACGGUAGCACAGAGGAGCUUGCUCCUCGGGUGACGAGUGGCGGACGGGUGAGUAAUGUCUGGGGAUCUGCCCGAUAGAGGGGGAUAACCACUGGAAACGGUGGCUAAUACCGCAUAACGUCGCAAGACCAAAGAGGGGGACCUUCGGGCCUCUCACUAUCGGAUGAACCCAGAUGGGAUUAGCUAGUAGGCGGGGUAAUGGCCCACCUAGGCGACGAUCCCUAGCUGGUCUGAGAGGAUGACCAGCCACACUGGAACUGAGACACGGUCCAGACUCCUACGGGAGGCAGCAGUGGGGAAUAUUGCACAAUGGGCGAAAGCCUGAUGCAGCCAUGCCGCGUGUAUGAAGAAGGCCUUCGGGUUGUAAAGUACUUUCAGCGGGGAGGAAGGCGGUGAGGUUAAUAACCUCAACCGAUUGACGUUACCCGCAGAAGAAGCACCGGCUAACUCCGUGCCAGCCGCCGCCGUAA